UGUUCGCUUCCGCAAGCGACAGUAGGCCGCACAGAGCGACGAUGAAGUAAUGCCAGAUACCCCAUCCUGCAUUAAAUUCGCAAAUUUAAAUUAUUGCAGUCUCGCAAUCGUCACUCAUGCCACACGUGACGAUCUUAUCGCAACAGCGAAGAAAAUUCGCCGAAGAUUAGGUUAUUAAAUCAAAUAUCUAAUCUAAAAUGAAGUUCUCUGCAAUUACCAGCUCGAUUCUCUCGCAGAUCUUUAUGUUUAACUAGUAAAAUAUAAAUAGAAUAAGCAUUAGACGCAUGAUUAUGUAAUUUCAUUAAAAUAUAAAUUAAUACUUUUCUUAA